rnacentral:rRNA from 1 species
UUUGGCAGCUAGCUCUCUGCAUAGUCGCCCACUGAAGCUAAGCAGGGCUGCGCCCGGUCAGUACCUGGAUGGGAGACCACAUGGGAAAGCUAGGUUGCUGCCGGAA